GAUGAACGCUGGCGGCGUGCCUAAUACAUGCAAGUCGAGGGAAAGGACGAGGAUCUCCCUCCUCUUACGUUAGCGCGGGACGGGGGGGUAACACGUGGAUACCCUACCUAUAGAACUGGGAGAAAUCCGGGAAACCGGAGCAAAUACCGCCUAAUAUAUUGAACCGCAUGGUUCAAUAGUUAAUAACGGUUUUGCUGUCCCUUAUAGACGGAUCCGCGCCGCAUUAGCUAGUUGGUAAGAUAACGGCUUACCAAGGCAACGAUGCGUGGCCGACCUGAGAGGGUGAUCGGCCACACUGGAACUGAGACACGGUCCAGACUCCUACGGGAGGCAGCAGUAGGGAAUCUUCCGCAAUGGGCGAAAGCUUGACGGAGCAACGCCGCGUGAGUGAUGAAGGUCUUCGGAUCGUAAAACUCUGUUAUUAGGGAAGAACAAAUGUGUAAUUAACUAUGCACGUCUUGACGGUACCUAAUCAGAAAGCCCCGGCUAACUACGUG
rnacentral:rRNA from 1 species